rnacentral:rRNA from 1 species
GAUGGACGCUGGCGGCGUGCUUAACACAUGCAAGUCGAACGAAGCACCUUAUUCUGAUUUCUUCGGAAUGAAAAAUUUGGUGACUGAGUGGCGGACGGGUGAGUAACGCGUGGGUAACCUGCCUCAUACAGGGGGAUAACAGUUAGAAAUGACUGCUGAUACCGCAUAAGACCACAGCACCGCAUGGUGCAGGGGUAAAAACUCCGGUGGUAUGAGAUGGACCCGCGUCUGAUUAGGUAGUUGGUGGGGUAACAGCCUACCAAGCCGACGAUCAGUAGCCGACCUGAGAGGGUGACCGGCCACAUUGGGACUGAGACACGGCCCAAACUCCUACGGGAGGCAGCAGUGGGGAAUAUUGCACAAUGGGGGAAACCCUGAUGCAGCGACGCCGCGUGAGCGAUGAAGUAUUUCGGUAUGUAAAGCUCUAUCAGCAGGGAAGAAAAUGACAGUACCUGACUAAGAAGCACCGGCUAAAUACGUGCCAGCCGCCGCGGUAA